ACUGAGAAGGAACUUAAAUAUGCAGAUGUCAAAAGUUCUGUGGAACAAGUUUCAUGUUGAAAUGCAACUAUUGACCAAAAGCUGUAAUGAUAGCACCUCACAGCUACAGUAUUCGCCUACCCACAUGAUUCUCCGAAGAAACAGAACAAUAUGAAACAGAGAGAGAGAGAGAGUGAUUUUAAGAAACGGAGUCACACAAUAGUAGGGUCUGGUAAGUCUGCAGGGCAGGCCAGCA